AUGAACUUCAUGGUUUAUAUAGCUAAUGAUUUAUAGAGCUAUUUUCCUAUACCUAUGGGCAGAGUAAAAGAACCACCCAGCUUGAUUUCCUCGACACUUUCUUCUACUGAUAUGACAGCAACAUCUCCACAAAUAGUUGGCUUUAAGAAUGGAUUAUGAGCAGAAUGAAGGUGCUUUCAUGAUGAAGAUUUACUCCAUGGGUAGCAUCCAGACCAGCUGUGAGGAGCUAGGGAGAAAUCAUUUCAAAAGAAGGACAGACUCAAUGUGUGACUUCCAUCAGAUCCAGCAGUGAUAGAAGAAACCUGUUUAGAUGAAGAAAGGGGUUUUGAAACCUGUGGGAGAGGCACAGCUAACAUCCCUUUCUGCACACCUGCAAGCUGCUUUCUCUGGUGAGAAAAUCAGUCAACCUUUAUGGUGGAAGGAGGCAGCUGUUACAGCAGGAUGCCAGGAUCAUUGUUUUUUGAGAAAUCUGCCAGGUGUAUUUCCAGAGGAACAUACUGAAGAGAGACAAUGCUUUCAGGGGUGGGAGCAUGCACAAUUUACUUUUUUAAAUUCAAGUGUGUGUGUGUGCAUUUGUGCAUGCAUGUGUUUAAUGCUCCAUUUUAGAAACUUUGUCCCACACCCCCGUAGUUUGAAGCAAGCAACAGUGAUAACAACCUCAGCAUGAGGUUGGAUAUCAAGCUGGUGUCUUCUGAAAGUACUUCUCUGGAGAUGGUGUAUCAUAAUGCAUGUUGAAAUAUUGGCUUUAACAUGGAGUGAAAAGGGUUUAUCCGUCCUCCCCCUGUGAAGAUAGUGGUACCUGCGUAAAGACAUGUUCUGCUUUUUAUUUCUGCUUGGAAGUUUUGGCACACGUCUGACUUACAGUUCUGGCUAAUAAACAUUCUCCUGUGAUGUCAUAUGAAAUACUAGAAGAAAGAAUUGGAACAAUAAAAAAGUCCCCUGAAGCCUCCAGUGGGACUUUGAAAUAUAAACUGCAGCUCAGAAGCCCUCUUAUACUUAUAUUAAACCUGUCAGUGUUACUUUGUAGUUCUAAGCUGUACAUCCUGCCAGCUAAGGUGAAAUAAAAAGAGCUUUCCAUGUUUGUUUUCAAUUUCCAAAGUUAACUUGUAC